rnacentral:rRNA from 1 species
UACAGAGGGGGCAAGCGUUAUUCGGAAUUAUUGGGCGUAAAGGGCGCGUAGGCGGCUUUGCAAGUGACGGGUGAAAUCCCUCGACUUAACCGAGGAACUGCCUGUCAAACUGCAUGGCUUGAGACCGGGAGAGGUGAGUGGAAUUCCCAGUGUAGCGGUGAAAUGCGUAGAUAUUGGGAGGAACACCAAUGGCGAAGGCGGCUCACUGGACCGGUACUGACGCUGAAGCGCGAAAGCGUGGGGAGCAAACAGG